AGGAAGAAGAAGAAGAGGAGGAGGAGGAGGAGGAGGAAGAGGAGGACGAGGAGGAGGAGGAGGAGGAGGAAGAAGAAACUAAAAAUCACUACCAUUUUAUCAGCUAGAGAUGUGGCAACAACACUGAUAGGUAUUCUCUUUUCUCACUGAAUUAUUAUUUUCUAGAAGUGUGAUACUCAUGUAGUUUUAUAACCUGAUUUUUUAAAUCUUCAUCUCAUCUCAUGAAAACCUUUCUAUGUCACUUACAAUAUAUUGCUUGUAUUCCUUUGUAUAAGUUUUAUGUAGUUUUACCACUAUUCUCGUACAUUAUGAUGGGUUCUAAUUUUUACUCUUUUAAUUACCCCAAUUCCAUAAAACAUCUGUAGCCAAAUCUUCUGGCAACAUUAUUAAAUUGGGAUAAAUUUUUAUGGGUGGAUUUGUUGGAACAAAGUGAAUGCAAAUUACUUUCAAUAUGUACUGAUGAAUAGCCCUCCUGAAAUGUUUCAAAAAUUUAUUCUCCACUAACUUUUUAAAAGUUAAAAUAUAUACUUUUAAAUCUAUCCAAGACUGAAAAAUAGUGCCCAAAGACUGAAUAAGAUUUAAGAGACUGAUAAAGAAUCCCGUUAUAUAGAUUAGUAAUCAGUGCUCCAAAAACUGGUUUCUGUUCAUCUGCUUACAAUGAAUCAUAUUAAUGUCAUAUUAAGAACUAUAUAGGCGACAAAAUACUUUUUUAAACAUGAAGAUAUAAUGGAAAAGUUACCUGCUUGUCAUGAGUAUACUGACUCAUUAGGUGGACUCAUUAGGUCCAUUAGACUAAGUGGAAAAUUCAAUCUCUAGAUUACACUUGUUGACUGUGAAUCUGCCUAAAAUAACCAAAGCUGAGGUGUGAGUAUCUAAAUCUUUACUCUCCUCAAAGCAAAUUCAACACAAUUUAUUGGGCAAUGACAUUAUAUGAGACACAGUGAUGCAAAGAAUAUUGAAAUGUUAUUUCAGCCUUUUAAAGCCAUGACAAUGCUAUUGGGUGUUCAGGGUAACAGAUACUAGAAUAGAUGUAAGGAAGCUCAAGAUCUAGGGAGUAGAGGAAGCAACAAGUUAUGCCUGUGAUGCUCAGUGAAGGUUUAUAAAGGAAGGACAAUUUAAGACGGGUUCAUUGGGCAGACUGGGUGGUACGAGAGUUUCGAUCAGAGUUCUUAUCUGCUCUUUGUAAGAAUUUCACAUGCUUCUGUUCUAAACAAAACAGUCUGCUGACAAACUAAACUAUCUGAAGUAAGCACUGAUCAGCAGGAUCCUUCUAUCUACUCUCUGCCUUAUCUUUCUCAGGUCCUUAUAUUUCCUGGGGUUGGCACAAUAAUUAACAUGGAGAAUCAACUCCUCAAUGUACACUAGCAUCCCUCUUGGUGUAAAAUUCUCGAAAGUAGCACUAUCUACCUCUUCAAUGCCAUCAGCCUGCUGGAGAAUAAAGGGAAAUGGAGUAAUUAAAUAUUUUAUUUUUUUCUCUUCCAGUUGCUAUCAACAUACACAAAAAAAUCCAUUUUAGAAAGAUAUGAUUAAAUAAUCCAAAUAAUAUUCAUUCCCACAUCCAUUUAUGAACUACUCAUCGGGUACCCACUCUGUACUAAGUACUGUGUGAGAUUUUUUUUAAAAGCCCGUCUCUAUGAGAUAAUUAAGCACUGAAAAAUCUAUGAAAGCACACAUGUGUUGCAACAUCAUCUUUCAGAAUCAGGCUCUUUAUGUUUUGGGAAACAGAGAUUUGUUUGCCAAAAUACUGUAGCAUGGAAGGAAAAAAUAAGAAUCUUUGUGUUUUUAACCACAACAGCUGCUUUGAAAAAAAUGUCAUCAUAAAAAUAGUUAUGCAUGAAAUGAUAAUUGCUCAACUUGUCAUCUGAUUGCUAGAUUAAAAACUCCAGAUUUGUAAUUGCAGCUAUCAUGCAAACAAAUUCACAAUUCUGAAAAUAUAUGUCCUGCUGGCUGUGUUUUUUAAGGACAGCCAUUUUGCCCACGGAUUUUGAUGUAAAGUAUUUUAAUCACCCUAAAGAUUGAAAUUUAUAGCUAUUACUGGUGAAAAUGUAUAAUGCAGAUCUGUUUUAUAAAAAAAUUAUUGCUUCACUAAAUAAUAUUGUAUAAAAGAUAAUUUUCUAGCAUUAAAACAUGCUAGGAAUGGCAGAAGUUAUACUCUCUAAAAAAGGCUUUAAAACAUUUGAUCAUAGCUGGGCGAUGAGGUCAUUUGAUCCCAGGAUUUUGAGGCCAGCCUGGGCAACAUAACAAGACUCCCUCUCUAACAGAUUAUAAAAGAGAAAAUUAGGGAGGUGCUUAGUCCAUAAGAGAGGGAAUAGGGCCUGAAUUAGGAUUAUGUGACCGAAAAGGAAGGGAAGUGAAAUUAGAGUCUUUACAAAAGUGCCUCAUACAUGAUUGGAAACUGAUACAAUGUACAGUAGGAGAGAAAAAGAGAAAUGAAAGUUUUCUUCCAGAUUGAAAGUCCAUGUGAUGACAAAGACGGUGCUGAUGUAACGGGACCAGAAUAGAGGGAAAAUAAAUAUAUUUAAAUGAGAGGAUGGUAGACUGGCAGACAUUGCGGUUGAAAAUGGAGUCCCAUCUAGGUUAUGAAAUGCAGAUGAGGAUCGCAGAAGGUGUCGAUUUUGGAGGCAGGUAUUAAAGCCUUGAGACUGGAGAGGAUUUCUACAAAAGACAGUGUAGAGAGAGAACUGAAUCAAAUACAGAAUACUGAGCUAUAUUUGGGAAAAAGGGGUAGGAGAGUGUAAAACUGGGAUUUGGGAAGUGGGAGAAUAACAAGAAUGCAGCAUUAUGAUACCAAGGAAUGAAAGCUUCAUGAUAGAAGUUGUAGUCAACAUUGUCAAAUGCUGUUAGAAAUUUGAAGAUAAGAAAAUAGGCCAGGUGUGGUGGCUCACGCCUGUAGUCCCAGCACUUUGGGAACCUGAGGCAGGUAGAUCACCUGAAGUCAGGAGUUCGAGACCAUCUUGGCCAACAUGGUGAAACCCCGUCCCUACUAAAAAUACAAAAAUUAGCUAGGAGUGGUGGUGGGUGCCUGUAAUCCCAGCUACUCAGGAAACUGAGGCAGGAGAAUUGCUUGAGCCUAGGAGGUGGAAGUUGCAGUGAGCCGAGAUCCUGCCAUUGCACUCCAGCCUGGGCAACAGAGCAAGUCUCCAUCAAAAAAAAAAAAAAAGACAGAAAGAAAGAAAGAGAGAGAGAAAGAAAAAGAAGAAAGAAAGAAAAGAAAGAAAGAAAGAAAGAAAGAAAGAAAGAAAGAAAGAAAGAAAGAAAGAAAG